rnacentral:rRNA from 1 species
UACGGAGGGUGCAAGCGUUAUCCGGAUUCACUGGGUUAAAGGGUGCGUAGGUGGGCUAGUAAGUCGAGUGGUGAAAUCUCCGGGCUUAACCCGGAAACUGCCAUUGAUACUAUUAGUCUUGAAUACCAUGGAGGUGAGCGGAAUAUGGUCAUGUAGCGGUGAAAUGCUUAGAUAUGACAUAGAACACCAAUUGCGAAGGCAGCUCGCUAGCGGUAUUGACGCUGAGCACGAAGCG